GAUGAACGCUAGCGAUAGGCCUAACACAUGCAAGUCGAGGGGCAUCACAUGAAGUAGCAAUACGGAUGGUGGCGACCGGCGCACGGGUGAGUAACACGUAUGCAACCUGCCUUCAACAAGGGGAUAACCCGUUGAAAGACGGACUAAUACCCUAUAACACAGGGGUCCCGCAUGGGAAUAUUUGUUAAAGGACAACCGGUUGAAGAUGGGCAUGCGUUCCAUUAGCUAGUUGGCGGGGUAACGGCCCACCAAGGCAACGAUGGAUAGGGGAACUGAGAGGUUUAUCCCCCACACUGGUACUGAGACACGGACCAGACUCCUACGGGAGGCAGCAGUGAGGAAUAUUGGUCAAUGGACGCAAGUCUGAACCAGCCACGUCGCGUGAAGGAAGACGGCCCUACGGGUUGUAAACUUCUUUUAUACGGGAAUAAAGUGCCCCACGCGUGGGGUUUUGCAUGUACCGUAUGAAUAAGGAUCGGCUAACUCCGUGCCAGCAGCCGCGGUAAGU
rnacentral:rRNA from 1 species